AGCAGCCGCGGUAAUUCCAGCUCCAAUAGCGUAUAUUAAAGUUGUUGCAGUUAAAAAGCUCGUAGUUGAAUUUCGGGAUCAGUACGCUGGUCGUGCCUUUGGUAUGUACUGGUGUCACUGAUUCCUCCCUUCUGAAGAAUCGUUAUGCCAUUUAUUUGGUGUGGCGGGAAAUCAGGACUGUUACUUUGAAAAAAUUAGAGUGUUUAAAGCAGGCCCGCGCUUGAAUACAUUAGCAUGGAAUAAUGAAAUAGGACGUUUGAUCUUAUUUUGUUGGUUUCUAGGAUCGACGUAAUGAUUAAUAGGGAUAGUUGGGGGCACUAGUAUUCAAUUGUCAGAGGUGAAAUUCUUGGAUUUAUUGAAGACUAACUACUGCGAAAGCAUUUGCCAAGGAUGUUUUCAUUAAUCAAGAACGAAAGUUAGGGGAUCGAAGACGAUCAGAUACCGUGUAGUCUUAACC
rnacentral:rRNA from 1 species